rnacentral:rRNA from 1 species
GUAGGUGGCAAGCGUUGUCCGGAAUUAUUGGGCGUAAAGCGCGCGCAGGCGGUCCUUUAAGUCAGAUGUGAAAGCCCACGGCUCAACCGUGGAGGGUCAUUGGAAACUGGGGGACUUGAGUACAGAAGAGGAAAGCGGAAUUCCAAGUGUAGCGGUGAAAUGCGUAGAGAUUUGGAGGAACACCAGUGGCGAAGGCGGCUUUCUGGUCUGUAACUGACGCUGAGGCGCGAAAGCGUGGGGAGCAAACAGGAUUAGAUACCCUGGUAGUCCACGCCGUAAACGAUGAGUGCUAAGUGUUAGGGGGUUUCCCGCCCCCUUAGUGCUGCAGCUAACGCAUUAAGCACUCCGCCUGGGGAGUACGGCCGCAAGGCUG